rnacentral:rRNA from 1 species
UCCCUUAUACUUUCAUUUGUUUUUCAUGUAAUUAUUUACUUUGGAACUGGAUGAAAAAAAGAAAUAUAAAUUUUGCUUUAAGAAGUAUGUGUUUCUCGUAUGUAGUAGUAGUUGAGGUAAAGGCUUAACUAGCCAUAUAUACGUAGUCGUAACUGAGAGGUUGAUCGACCACAAUGGGCCUGAAUAAAGCCCAUGAUGAAAAUUACAGCAGUGAGGAAUAUUGGUCAAUAGCCUAACGGCUGAACCAGCAACUUGGAAGAACGUAUAGUGAAAACUAAUUGUGCCAAGAUUUUAUUGGUACAAUACCGACUUGGUCGGAUAAAGUUCUGGGUAGAAUUAUGAUAAUGACAUUUUCUAUUUAUGUGUCUUGACUAAAUUACGUGCCAGCAGUCGCGGUAAUACGUAGAAGACUAGUGUUAUUCAUCUUUAUUAGGUUUAAAGGGUACCUAGACGGUAGAUAAAGCCUUAGUUGGGACUAAUUUACUAGAGUUACUUACGAGGGAGUAUUAAAGUACUAAUGGUGUAGAGAUAAAAUUCUGUAAUACCUUUUUUCGUGAGAAAAGCAACGGCACAGGUAUAGGCGAAGGCAUCUCCUUAUGUGAUAACUGACGUUGAGGGACGAAGGCUUUGUAUAGCUAACAGGAUUAGAUACCCUAGUAGUCAAAGCAGAAAAUGAUGAGUGUCAUAGAUUAGGCAAUUGCUUAUUCUAUAAAUGAAAGUGUAAGCACUCCACCUCAAGAGUAAUUUGGCAACAUUGGAACUGAAAUCAUUAGACCGUUUCUGAAACCAGUAGUGAAGUAUGUUAUUUAAUUUGAUAUUCCGCAAAAAACCUUACCACAACUUGAAUAUUUAUAUUUGUUAUAAAUACAAGUGUUGCACGGCUGUCUUCAGUUAAUGUCGCGAGAUUAUGGUUAGCUCCAUUAAAUUAACGUAAACCCUUACUUUAUUUUUAAAUAAAGUAGUUCUCCGCUAUAUUGGAUAAGAUAAGA